rnacentral:rRNA from 1 species
GACGAACGCUGGCGGCGUGCUUAACACAUGCAAGUCGAACGAUGAGGCCGGAGCUUGCUCUGGUGAAUUAGUGGCGAACGGGUGAGUAACACGUGAGUAACCUGCCCUUGACUCUGGGAUAACUGCUAGAAAUGGUAGCUAAUACCGGAUACGACCCUCGGAGGCAUCUCCAGGGGGUGGAAAGAAUUUCGGUCAAGGAUGGACUCGCGGCCUAUCAGCUAGUGGGUGAGGUAACGGCUCACCAAGGCGACGACGGGUAGCCGGCCUGAGAGGGUGACCGGCCAAACUGGGACUGAGACACGGCCCAGACACCUACGGGAGGCAGCAGUGGGGAAUAUUGCACAAUGGGCGCAAGCCUGAUGCAGCAACGCCGCGUGAGGGAUGACGGCCUUCGGGUUGUAAACCUCUUUUAGUAGGGAAGAAGCGAAAGUGACGGUACCUGCAGAAAAAGCACCGGCUAACUACGUGCCAGCCGCCGCCGUAA